GACGAACGCUGGCGGCGUGCUUAACACAUGCAAGUCGAACGGAAAGGCCCUGCUUUUGUGGGGUGCUCGAGUGGCGAACGGGUGAGUAACACGUGAGUAACCUGCCCUUGACUUUGGUAUAACUUCAGGAAACUGGGGCUAAUACCGGAUAGGAGCUCCUGCUGCAUGGUGGGGGUUGGAAAGUUUCGGCGGUUGGGGAUGGACUCGCGGCUUAUCAGCUUGUUGGUGGGGUAGUGGAUUACCAAGGCUUUGACGGGUAGCCGGCCUGAGAGGGUGACCGGCCACAUUGGGACUGAGGUACGGCCCAUACUCCUACGGGAGGCAGCAGUGGAGAAUAUUGCACAAUGGGCGGAAGCCGGAUGCAGCAACGCCGCGUGCGGGAUGACGGCCUUCGGGUUGUAAACCGCUUUCGCCUGUGACGAAGCGUGAGUAACGGUAAUGGGUAAAGAAGCACCGGCUAACUACGU
rnacentral:rRNA from 1 species